rnacentral:rRNA from 1 species
UGGGGAAUUUUGGACAAUGGGCGAAAGCCUGAUCCAGCAAUGCCGCGUGUGUGAAGAAGGCCUUCGGGUUGUAAAGCACUUUUGUCCGGAAAGAAAUCCUCUGGGUUAAUACCUCGGGGGGAUGACGGUACCGGAAGAAUAAGCACCGGCUAACUACGUGCCAGCAGCCGCGGUAAUACGUAGGGUGCAAGCGUUAAUCGGAAUUACUGGGCGUAAAGCGUGCGCAGGCGGUUUUGUAAGACGGAUGUGAAAUCCCCGGGCUUAACCUGGGAACUGCAUUCGUGACUGCAAGGCUAGAGUAUGGCAGAGGGGGGUAGAAUUCCACGUGUAGCAGUGAAAUGCGUAGAGAUGUGGAGGAAUACCGAUGGCGAAGGCAGCCCCCUGGGCCAAUACUGACGCUCAUGCACGAAAGCGUGGGGAGCAAACAGGAUUAGAUACCCUGGUAGUCCACGCCCUAAACGAUGUCAACUAGUUGUUGGGGAUUCAUUUCCUUAGUAACGUAGCUAACGCGUGAAGUUGACCGCCUGGGGAGUACGGUCGCAAGAUU